rnacentral:rRNA from 1 species
ACAUGCAAGUCGAACGGCAGCGGGAAGAAAGCUUGCUUUCUUUGCCGGCGAGUGGCGAACGGGUGAGUAAUGUAUCGGAACGUGCCCAGUAGCGGGGGAUAACUGGCCGAAAGGUCAGCUAAUACCGCAUACGCCCUACGGGGGAAAGGGGGGGAUUCUUCGGAACCUCUCACUAUUGGAGCGGCCGAUAUCGGAUUAGCUAGUUGGUGGGGUAAUGGCCUACCAAGGCGACGAUCCGUAGCUGGUUUGAGAGGACGACCAGCCACACUGGGACUGAGACACGGCCCAGACUCCUACGGGAGGCAGCAGUGGGGAAUUUUGGACAAUGGGGGAAACCCUGAUCCAGCCAUCCCGCGUGUGCGAUGAAGGCCUUCGGGUUGUAAAGCACUUUUGUCAGGGAAGAAAAGGUUCUGGCUAAUACCCGGAACUGAUGACGGUACCUGAAGAAUAAGCACCGGCUAACUACGUGCCAGCAGCCGCGGUAAUACGUAGGGUGCAAGCGUUAAUCGGAAUUACUGGGCGUAAAGCGUGCGCAGGCGGUUCGGAAAGAAGGAUGUGAAAUCCCAGGGCUCAACCUUGGAACUGCAUUCUUAACUACCGGACUAGAGUAUGUCAGAGGGGGGUAGAAUUCCGCGUGUAGCAGUGAAAUGCGUAGAUAUGCGGAGGAAUACCGAUGGCGAAGGCAGCCCCCUGGGAUAAUACUGACGCUCAUGCACGAAAGCGUGGGUAGCAAACAGGAUUAGAUACCCUGGUAGUCCACGCCCUAAACGAUGUCAACUAGCUGUUGGGCCCUUCGGGGCUUAGUAGCGUAGCUAACGCGUGAAGUUGACCGCCUGGGGAGUACGGUCGCAAGAUUAAAACUCAAAGGAAUUGACGGGGACCCGCACAAGCGGUGGAUGAUGUGGAUUAAUUCGAUGCAACGCGAAAAACCUUACCUACCCUUGACAUGUCUGGAAUCCUUUAGAGAUAGAGGAGUGCUCGCAAGAGAACCGGAACACAGGUGCUGCAUGGCUGUCGUCAGCUCGUGUCGUGAGAU